AUGCAUUUCUGUUCAGUUUAAUGGAUUCUAUUCCUUAUAAGAAACUUGCUUUAUAUGACCUGUAUCAGUUCCAAAGAUAUUCUAAACUAGCUAUUUUCAAUUCAAUAGCCCCUGAUUUCAAUUUAUGAACUUAUGGUAAUACACAGAAGACAUCAAAAAAUAUUAAUACUGAAGCAAUAAUAAAGGUUUAAAAGAGGAUGCUACAGCUGAUCUUAAAAAAGAAGAAUUCUCUAACAUAAACCCAUUUUUUAGAAUUUGCAACCACUUUAAAGAAGAUCAGUUUGGCUUUCCUUUAUGUCAGAAAAUGCAUUCAUGCAGAUCUAGGAAAUUCAGUUCUCACAAACAAGCAAUUCAAUCCCCAUGCAUCAAGCAGCCGACUUGGAAUAGAGCCAACACAUAGCAAAUAAUAAACUGUAAGAGGUUUUUACUAUUGUCAAGGCAUGGAAAAACUGUGAGAAACAUGAUGCAUGCCAGAAAUGCAAUAUACACAUUUUUAUGCUGACAAUGAUAGAAUUUCUGCUAUUUGUAUGACUACUUGGACAUUUUUCCAGACCAGAGAAACAUUGUUCAAAACGUCAAGACCCUGCUUCUAGUUAGGUCCAAUUAAGUCAUGUAGCCAGCUCCCUGCAUAGUAAGCCUAAUUUAAAGCUUCCUCAGCCUAUUAACUCCUCUUAAAAUCUAAAGACAAGUUUAUAUCAGAUUUGCUCCUAUACUAAGGGUGUUACUCACUUUAAUAGCCCAUCAGCACUUCUUACUUUCAUGUAUUUAUAGUAAAAAUACUUCUCUCAGAAUUUUCAUUUGGUGACAUGAGUUCAGUUUUCUGUGAGUCAAAUAAAUUAUACCAGUCACUGAAACUUAUUUUUACAUUUUUUGUGUUUAUGUUAUAUUGUGGGUCAGAUUUGUUUUUGUAAAUUGUGGUGCUCAAUCUUGCAAGGUUUCAUUAUCUGUGUGUUGGGGUUUUGCCUCCUCAUUUCUCCAGAUUACUUCUUCACUUUCCUGCUGUUAUUUAUACGUCAAUUAACAAAUUUAUGACAAACUAAGACUUUACAUAGUUUCCAUCACAAAGCCCUGAUAAUGUGUGCUUGGUGACCUUUGCUCCAAAACACUUUUUUUAUGACACAAGAGAUGAUAAUAUCAAGUCAAUUACAUAACGACCUUCAUUUUUAUAAGUUUGGAUCAUCUUUCUGUACGAAUUCAUAGCAAAGUCAACCAUGAAAACUUUAAAAUAUUACUUCUAUCUGUUUAUUGAAAUGAACAUAUAUCUAACUCCUUGUUUUGAUGCUGAAAAGAUAAAUAGAAAAAAGAAAUAUCUCAGUGGAUACAACAUAAUGACAUAAUGUAGCUGCUUAGAGAUUAAGCUAUGAAACAAUCCUCUCUGCACAUAUUUUCAAAUAAUAAUGGUACUUGUGCAGUGUUUAUUUUCCUUGCAUUCCUUAGCUGAGAGAACACAUGAAGGAAGGGCAACUAUCACAAAGGAUAAGUUUAUUUUCUUCAUAGAGUCCUUAUUAUUCAAUAAUUGUUAAUUACAAAACAGAGUACACCACUUAAACUUGUUUUAGCUAUUUGAACUCCUUAGGAGGGAACAUCCAGAUUCCCCAAAAUGUAGUUCUGGGAACAGGGAAAGAAAUUGAGAGCCUCUGUCAUUUUUUUAUAGCUAGGUGCUAGGAAUCCAUUGCUGAACCAUUAAAAUAUACCCCCUGAAAGUUCAUUUACUCCCCCGAGUGACUGCCUCAGCAGCAAAUCAAACUGCUGCACAACUUGCUCAGACCCUGCAAGUUCGUAUUAAUGAAUUAUUAAUACAGUACUAAAUAAAUUAAACACAAUUAUAUUUCAAAGUACAUAAACAUUAUGCACAGCAAAGAAACUGCACACAUCCACAUCCAUGGGAUUUUUGAUUACUUUGGCUCUUACAAGUGGCAUGUGUUGAGCCACAUUUAUCAGAAUGCUCAAAGUAAAUCACUUAAAGUUUGUACAUGGCACCUUUUCAAGGUAGGUAGUUCAAAAUCCAGCUCAACAGGAGGCUAAGGUUACCUUAUAUAAUCUACACUAAGCAUAAGUAUGUUCAUGGGAUGUGUUUGAGGUCACUAACACAUACUCUUGCACUGGGUCUUCAAACAGUCCUCAUGGAGGAGUCCAGGCUUCUUUCACCAGCUCUCAGCCUUCAGCACCAGCUGCAGGCUCCAGCCUUCUGGCUCAUAUUGUCAUAGGUGGAGUUCUGGAAUAAUUGCUGUAAGUUAUUGCUUGCCUGUUAUCAAAACUUUAUUCUCCUUUUUGUGUUCUGCUUCAGAACAGGGCCACCACUACCACAAGUCACCACUGCAAAGCAACAGUGAUAAAUGAUGUAAAACCAGUACAGCUUCCAAAAAAUACUGCUGAAAGUUUCCCCCUGAACAACAAAAGUGAAUUAGGAACUUAAACUGAAUGAGCUUUUUAAAGUUCCCCAAACCAAAUUUUAUUACCUGAAGAGGUUUUACAUUAGGAAAGUCCUCCUGAAUAAUAAUAAAAUUAAAAUUAUACAAAUUAGUAUCAGUACAGCAAAGAAACUUGUUUCAGUAGAUUUGAAACAGUAAAAAAAAGGUUCUUGAAUCGUUAAAAUGUACACUGUCUGGUUUUUAUCUGCCAUAAAGCUCGUAACAUUAUCAUUUAGAGCAUAGCAGAAAAGUACCUAUCUACCUAUAGUAGGAAAGAAUUGUUUCCCUUGACUGAAAACUGCUAAAAUUCUGAAGCAAUCAUUAAGUUUAUUUGCUGUUAUGGGUAACAUUGGAUACAUGAUGGAAUUUUACUAGAUGUUUCUAACAACUAUAUUAAAACUUGGCCAUUUCAUUGCACUUUGAUUUUCCACUAAGAGUAAAAUGGUCAAAGAGCAUGACUGAACAGAUAUGUAAUUUGGAAGACUUUAGAAAGACAAUGUGCUUUGUUAGUGCUUUGUCAUGAGCUUUUUAGCCUGAAAACACCACUUAUGUAAGGUCCUCUCUCAAAUUCUUGAAAAGAUUUUUUUUUUCCUUUUGGCAAGUAAGAGAACACAGGAAAAAAGAAGGCAGGGGGGCAGGGGGAGGAAGAAAGCAACUAUCCCACAAAAGUAAGCACACAGAAUGUGAAAACUGGCUGUAGAAUGUAAAAGACAAAGCAAGGAGUACAGACAGACCUCUUUCCAUUCCUCUUUCUGGCCAGACAGGCUCCCUAUAUCUCAUUUAAUGGCCUCAUUAGUGUAAUCUGAGUCUACUGUGCUGGUCUAAUUUCCUAGAAAGACUCAGCUACCAUUCUGCAAAUGGAUACAGACUCGGAUGGUUGGUAAAACCUGGCUCAGUUUAUAGCAACGCGGAGGCAAAAUUCCCACAUCCAUUCUAGGGCUUCCUGCAAACAUGCUGAAAGCCGAAAAUGGCAUCAGCAUACAUCAACACAGAUACGAAUGGCAGCAUUUUCUUGAAAAGGUUCACCUGUUAGUUUCAAAAAGAAUUUUGCUCCUUCCAGUAUAUUACUGAAUUUUUGUAUCUGAAAAAAAUUGUUUACUAAUGACAUCCAUUAAAAAAGCCACAGAAGCAGAACAUGCCUGUAGAACUGAAAUGAGAGUUCAAUACCAAUUACUCCAUUCAGUUCAACAGCCUGAAACACAAUGCUGUGUUGCUACAAGAGACUUUCAGGCUGUCAGGCUCAUGGACAAAGUUCACUAUCUGCUUCCCAGUGAACAUGAGAGCAUGAGAAGGAAAUUGAGAAUAUGUUAGAACACUUCACACCAUGAUGGCAUUUAAAAUUACAUUUGUUCAUUUUUCAGUUGGUUGGUUGGUUGUUUUUUUUUGUUGUUGUUUUUGUUUUAGUGGAGAUUCAAUUACUUAGAAAGUUAUUUAUUUGAUUUUUUUUACAGAUUGCCAUGUGCUCUGGGAUGACCCUACUUGAGCAGGGAGGUUGGACUGGAUGACUCACUGUGGUCCCUUCCAACCAAUAGUUUAAUACAGAAUUGCUUCCUAUCACGAGUGAAAGACAAAUGGAAAAGAGAUUGUGAAAGAAACUUGGAAAACAGACAAGAAGAAAACAGCUGUUUCAGUCCAGACCACCAGAGACACUGUACUUCGUCAGCACUAUGGAAUGACAUUCAGCUUCAAAAAUUUCUGCGUUUCAUCCUUCCCAGUCACAGAGUAGGAAUAAAUAAUUUAAUCAAGUAUGCAUCAGGAGAGGGGAAUAUCCUAUUAGUCUGUGCCUGCAUUCCUUCCCCUUCACUUCUUUGCAUCUCUUAGAUUUCCAGAAGUGUACAUCACUCUUUUCAGCUUAGCCAAAAACACAGCUCUAUGAGUUUAAGAAAACAAAAGCAAUUAAUAUCUUCAAAUUCGUGUACAACUUUCUAAAACUAGAAGCAAAUACAUACCCAUUAUAAACAUAAUGCCAUAGCCUUUAGAAAAGAGCCAGAAAAUUCACAAUGUAAAAGAAGCCAGAGGAACGGCACUAAAACACCAUUUCUGGAAAAACAGUUACUUGAGACUUCUUCAAUUAGACACCCAUCUCCAUCAAAGGAUACCAGCGAGCACACAUCACCAUGAUGAAAAAAAAACAUGAAAAAAGGAUUUUGUGGCUAGUUGAUUCGCUGGUAAAUAAUUUUACAUCUCUCAAAUUACUUGUAAUAUACUAAGCUACUAUCAUUUCACACACUUGCCCAAAGAUGGGAGGAACAUUGCCCUCAAUCUGACUGAGAACUGAGAUUUUUAACAUAAAAACUUGAAGAUCAUCCUUAUUAUUUUUCUGAAGGCUGUAAUUUUGUUCUUUUUCAUCAUUCAUGAAGUAGUAUCUUCACUACAAAGAAGGAGAGAACUCUGUUUGAAUUUAGUGACAGUACAAAGAUAUAACAAGAUAAAAAAAUAAAAUAUGCCUCCAGUGACCAGAUGGAAGGAGAAUCAAGGAAAGAAAGAAAAAAUAGGUGAUCAUGAAUGUUAGGUACUCAAGUCAAAAGGACUCUCAUUAAAUUUAUAAAAUCUAAUUUAAACAAUAAUAUUUAUUAGACCACAGAAACUUCUACAAAAUAUUAUCAAAUAUUAUCCCUAAAACAUCUUAAAUCUCUUCUUGACUAUGACAGUCUUUGCCUUACAAAAAGAACUGAAAAUUGAUCACUUGAAAGACAUAAAAUAGAAUUUAAAUCAUUAAGACUGUAAAGGGAAAUUAUCAUAAAAAUUUUCAUUGGUUUUACAUCCUUAUAAAUUCUUUAAAAGUUGUGCAAGGCAUCAGUCCAGAUUUAAAGUAAAUUUUCCCACCAAAACUGAGGGUCGUACUAUUAAUGAAGUGAAUAACUUGAGAGUAAGUCAAGAGCUCUGUUUAUAAAAAGACCUGUAUAAUCUUUUUAACAAGGGAAAAUGUAGUAACUCCUUAAAAGUACAUCAGUUAACCUGCAAACAGAAAACCAAGCUUCAAGAAAUAGGCUCUGAAUCCAAAUGUAAAUUAAUAUAUUUUUCUUAAUGGAAGUGGUAUAUAAUACAGAACUCAAAAUCAUCUAACACAGAAGUCCACUAUGUCAUGUAUUUACAUGCCUGGAAAUCUCUUGAGUAGGCUAUGGAAGAAAUCCAGGCUGUGUUGAUCAAGACUAUUGUACCUAAUCCAAAAAGGAUUGCCUGCAGGCAGAGGCAAAGCAAGCUUCACUCUUUUAUCCUCUAAGACAGACCAGGAGAUCAACAGAAGUUCAACACAAGUCAGUACCACCACAACACAAAAGUUGGAGUACAACUCCUAAAGCAGAAAUACUGUAACAGAAAAGAAACUGUCUUUUCAUUGGGAUAGAAGAAAAAAAACCUACACCAUGAAAACUGAUGUAUCCUAGCCAGUAAGGGGCUCUAUUCCUGGAUGAGAUCCCUCUGACUGCUGAACCUGAGGUCCCUAUUGUCAUAAAGACCUUUCAGAUUUUGAUGGAUUUCUAUGGAAAGCAGUCACCUUCGUGUCACCCUUAAUAUGAGGCGAUUCCAAAAAUGAAGUCCCUUUGUCUCCACUGGUCUUUCUAUGGACAUGUUUGUCUAAGUAGUGCUUUCACUUUAUUUUCCUCAUUAAGUACCACUUCACUGUGCCAGCUGUUCAACCCCCCCUCUCUCCUUCCUCCUGCCUUGGUUGGCCUGUAUGUAAUCAAAGACAAAUCAAUACUAGAAAUACUCCAUCCAGUAAUUCAGCUCUCAGAUAAUGACCCUCUCUUUUCCCCACCAAUAUCUAGGUAGGAAAAAACCUUAAGACUUUAAAACACCCUGUGCACCAGAUGAAUAAAACCAGUAAAACUUGUCGCAAA